GAAUCUUCCGCAAUGGGCGAAAGCCUGACGGAGCGACGCCGCGUGGUUGAUGAAGUCCUUCGGGACGUAAAAACCUUUUAUGACUAAGAAAGUUUAUUGAUCUGGUCAUGAAUAAGGGGCUCCAAACUCUGUGCCAGCAGGAGCGGUAAUACAGAGGCCCCAAGCGUUGUCCGGAAUCACUGGGCGUAAAGGGUGUGUAGGUGGUUUUAUUAGUCUCUCGUUAAAGCUCCCGACCCAAUCGGGAAAAUGCGAGGGAAACGGUAAGACUAAGAGGGUGUGAGAGGUAAAUGGAACUCAUGGAGUAGGGGUGAAAUCCGUUGAUAUCAUGGGGAACACCAAAAGCGAAGGCAAUUUACUGGCGCAUUCCUGACACUGAAACACGAAAGCGUAGGUAGCGAAUGGGAUUAGAUGAACGUCACGUAAAACCACUAGGUGGCCACGUGACAGCGUCUCUUUCCGCAGUAAUGCGGAAUUGAAAACCCCGAAAAAACGCAUAGCGUUCAACGGGAUGAAUUUGGCUGUAUGCUGGAAUAUCCGGCGUAUGCGACACUACUACAAAAGGAGAAUUAAGAUGCCAAUGUAUGAGUUGAUUUGUGAUCAUCCUCAAUCUAGAGGAAGAUCAGAACAAACCCAUCAAUUCAAAGCUAAGAAUGACAAUAGAGCACUAACACAUGUAAAAAAACAUGUGACUGACUCAAAAACUCAUCCUUAUAGUGAUACAGAUCUAAGUUUUAGAUACUGUCGACCAAAAAAAUUAUUUGAGGUCGUUCGGCGAGAAAUAAAAAUGUAGUAAAAAUGUGUCCGCUGCGGACAACCAGCAGGGAAGAAUUUUAGGAGGUUAAAGUGAAGCGAUACAAAAUUCAAAUGCUUUGUACAAAUAAUGGAGGACGAUUCUUUGCAGAACAUCCGGUCUUUGCAGAGGGAGAUGACGACUUUAAAAAUCGAGCAUUUCCCGAAUGGAAAGAAGACAUGGACAGAACAUGUGUGAUGUUUUCAGACGUCAGACUGCUUUACACGGUCACUCGAGUCAUUAGGGUAGACCAAGAAGAACAAACCACAGAUAUAGUGGUGCCUCAGUAGUAAAUUCCCCUCAGAGACUAUACGCCGAACCCCCGUGAGAAAUUGUCUUACGGGGUGAAGAUAUAGUCCGGACUGCAUAGCGAUAUGCAGAACACAACAGAAAUGAUUGUGUCUCGUCGCGUCUGACGCGACGAAGUAACAUUGUCGACCCCAGUAGUCUACGCCCUAAACGAUGAUCGCUGGCUUUUCGGAGUAUCGACCCUCUGAGAGGCGAAGCUAACGCGUUAAGCGAUCCGCCUGGGUAGUACGAUCGCAAGAUUAAAACUCAAAGGAAUAGACGGGGACUUGCACAAGCGGUGGAUUAUGCGGUUCAAUUCGAUGACAAACGAAAAACCUUACCAAGGCUAGAAAUCUAGAUGAAUGCUGGAGAAACUCAGCAGUCUCACAAGGACAUCUAGACAGGUGAUGCAUGGCCGUCGUCAGUUCGUGAUUUGAAUUGUUCCCUUAAGUGGGGUAACGAACGCAACCCUCGUUGUCUGUUACAAGUGUCAGACGAGACCACCCAGCACUAAGGUCAGAAAUUGAAUCAAAAAUUGUUUAUAAAAAUGCCUUGCGAGCGCGACUGGCGUGAGCACGAGGAAAAAUUCAGCAGAAUUUUAUCCGUGCAUUUUUAGAAAUAAUUUUUGAAUGAGAUUUCCUACUUGAGUGCUGGGNNNNNNNNNNNNNNNNNNNNNNNNNGUUGGAAUCGCUAGUAAUCGCGGGUCAGCUAUACCGCGGUGAAUACGUUCUCAAGUCUUGUACUCACCGCCCGUCAAGUCAAGGAAGUUGGGAGUACCCAAAGGCUCAUGUAAGUGGGACUAAGGUAAACUCAAUGACAAGGACUAAGUCGUAACAAGGCACGGCUAGCGGAAGCUG
rnacentral:rRNA from 1 species